rnacentral:lncRNA from 1 species
GUGCCACCACGCAUUCCACUUCGGAUGUUGCAUUAUAUUUAUAUGUCACUCAAAUAUUUACCAUUUUUCUGAAUUCUGCUGGGUGCUCUGAGAGCUCGUUAUAAGCCAAGUAGCUGCAGUUGUGUGCCUUGGCUGUCGAGCAGCUGUGGCUGAGCCACAUCAAUCUGCUAACUUCUCUUUCUGGAGCUUCUCGUGUGACAAAAGCCACUCUUUCAUAACGUUUCCUCCUCCGUAGUUGCCGAUCUGCCCGCUGCUGCAAAUCACCCUGUGGCACGGUAUGAUAAUCGGGAUAGGAUUGCUCCUCAUCGCUCCUCCCACCGCUCUCGCUGCUCGGCUGUUGCCUGCUCGCUCUGCUAAUUGCUGGUAAGAAAUGGCCUCUCCGAACUUCACUUCCCUCAGCAGGGUCCACAACACCUCCUUGGUGAAUGAAUCUUGCUGCAGCAUGGGGUGGUGGAAGGGCGGCAGGGGCAGCUGCUCUGUCCUGCUGGGCUCACAGAAGUAGGCGUUCAGCCAGGCUGCACACUGCUGCAGUGGCUCCGGCAUGGAAGUCACACUGCCACUCAGCUCACAGCGCAUCGCAGCCUCCGUCCCAUUUGGCAGCACACUCAGUCUGGGGAGUUUUAUUUCGUGUACUCCUGUUUCACACCCAGAUAUCUCCAGUUUUCCCACGGGGCUGAGCAGAACCGCAUGCUUCUCCUGGCACUGUGAUGUUCCCUCUUUGGAAGUCAUUUUUGGAACACGCCUUGAUGCCAUGGUAGAUGGAGAUGCCUGCCUGCCGCCCGGCAGCACCACUUCCCCGCGCCGCGAGGCCUUCCGAGCCCCGCCCGCGUGCUCCGGGAUGGGGGGAUGGGGGGGGGGGGACGGAUGAAGGCCGGGCGCUGAUUGCGUCCGCGCUCAGCUGCUCCAGGGCCCGUCUGGGCCUCUUUGUAAACAUCACCCACAAACCCACGGGUGCCGAAAGGAGCGUGCUGAGGGCUGGCUGCUGCAGCGGGCUGCUGGUCUGGGAGCAGAGCACGGCACGUGCCGUGCGGCCGAGUUCGCCAUUUAAAGCGUUACCUGCGCCUGUCCUUUGCUAAGCGCUGGCGUGGAGGCGAGCAGGCAGCCCGCAGCGCUCCGUUUGCAGACGGGGAUGUUCUGCAAACCCAACUUGUUAAAGAGAGGAAAGCAGAGCUUUGUUUCAGCCCACAGAAGGAGCGCUGCUCAAGUUUGCAAGAAGAAGCUCUCAUUUUCCACCUAAAGAUUUUUCUUGCUGUCUGAAACUUACACCUGAGUUACAUCAGCAGCAUUUUUAUAGUGGUGCUGCAGGAUGCAGAAGUUAUCACAGAAUGGCAAAGUGGAGGAAUCCACGUGGGAAAUAACAGAGCGGCUUUAAAAAGUCAUCACAGAACCAUGGCAAUCUAUUUUUUUUUCUAUUUUUUUUUCCACAGGAAGUGAGUGCUGCGAAUAAAAGAGCAGUGAGUUAGUGCCCGCGUGUGAAAUCCGGCUCUAAAAAAUGACAGAGUUGGCUCCAAAAUGCUGAAGUUUCUCCAAUGCAAUUGAAGAUACCUUUGGAAUAGUUGCACCUGGGGCAGACUUACAACAGGGCGGUUGUGAGCAGGGGAUGUUGAGAGGCCUUUUUUACUGCCUUUGCCAUCUACAUAAGCAAGGUGUUGGCCAAAAGUCUCUGCACAUCUCAGAGAGUAAAAGAAGUCUACGGUGCUUCCUCCCUGUCCUGUUAACUGUGAUUUAUGGACACAGCCAUUUAGAUAUGAGGAGGAAGUUUUUCCCCCAGAGGGUGGUGACGCACUGAACAGGUUGCCCAAGGAGGCUGUGGAUGCCCCAUCCCUGCAGGCAUUCAAGGCCAGGCUGGAUGUGGCUCUGGGCAGCCUGGGCUGCUGGUUGGCGACUGUGCACAUAGCGGGGUGGGGGGGGGGUGUUGAAACUAGAUGAGCAUUGUGGUCCUUUUCAACCCAGGCCAUUCUAUGCUUCUAUGGUUUAGAGCAAGAUAGAAAUGAUCCGUGUGAUCGGUGAGGGAUAAAUUGCAGUUAUAUCUCUUUACAUAAGCAGUUUCUCAAUGACUUAAUUUAAGAGACAGAGAAACAGUAUUACAAUUAAGGAGAAAUGCAGGAAAAGCUAUUCCAUCUUUGUGAUAGCUUACAAACAAUUAGAGAUUCCUGGUUCAUAUUUUCUGAUUUUUUAAGCAUUCAAAAUUAAUUUCUGGUACCUUUACAGUAACCUUUGCUAGUGAACAGAUUACUUAGACUUACUACAUAAGCAAUGCUGUAUGCUUUCAGAAGGAAAAUGAAGCUUUCCAGCAGCUUUAAUGAAGCCUGGAUUAACAGUAAAUGAAAAGGUAUUGCCAAGGUGUGCCCCAUACAAGUGCAAUGGCUUAUGUGAAGACAGUCUCAUCUCUAAAUGAACAAUCUCUUCACAUCAGUAAACUGUGGACUGGAUGGGGUACCCAGGGGAUAGUUAUUAUUUCUGAAUGCAAAUAUCAAACUUCUUAAACUUGGAUCCUUUAUUUUCUUUCUCCCAGAUGUUUUACAAUCCGAUAUGGGGAUUAAAAGGAAGGAGUGCGGAGGUCUGUAAACCAACCACUCUCAAAGUGAGUUUCAGUGGUCCUCCUUUCCAUAACAAUCGUCAUUUCUUUGCCUUCAGGAUGCCAACAUAAAGAUGAGCUCUGCAGGUCAGUCUGUGCCGUUCCAGUUGAGGAGGAGCAGCCUAUUGACCGGCAUGGGCAUGGCAGUUGUUAGCACUGACAACAGCGCUGCUUGAAGAGAAAACUUAAUUAGCACAGAAUUCCCUGAAGGACUGCUUCCCAGUAGACUAUGAAUACGUAAUGUCAUUAUAUAAUUAAAUACUUACAGAUUUAUGCAAUCUUAAAACAUAUAGGAGAUUCUCGGGCACAUCCACAUAGGAGAUGUGAGUAGACCUGAAGUCCCUUUACCUCUGCUGUGUAUAUCUGAGCUAUGAUGGAAGGUGUAUAUGGCUGCUUAGUGGCUGAAAUUGUGUCCCUGCCAUACACUCCACUUCUGGGGUUGGGUCAGGUGGAGCGAGUCAGAUUGUGCUGGCACCUACCCGAUGAGAGUGACAGGAGAAAGGGUAAAGCAGGAUAUCUGCAUGAGUUUCAAUUAACAGCGUGAGCUUCAUUAAUUCCUUCCAAGUAUUAGUGAAUGUUUACAAUUUUAAGUGCUUUGGAAAUUUCAGUCUGGUAUCUUAUCUCUUAAAAAUGAACCUAUUUUACUUUGAAAAUAUUGUAAUGCCAGAUGAAAGGGAAACAGUGCUGAAGUGAAUGAAAUCACUCUGUGCUGUUUCACAUUUCUGAAAAGUAGCCACUUCCUGAAACUUUAUGUGGAAACCUCCAGAAAAUACAUAUAAAUCUUUUCUAACUCCCCUUCCAGGCCGACCUCCUUAUUGCCUGAAGCAUGAAAAUUGAUUAUCUUUAAUAUGAUUUUAGUUUGCAUUAUAACAGGUUUGAAUAGGGAAUGUGAAAUGUCUGGACCCUCUUAAAACCAAGCAUUUGGGGGUUUGGCAGUGAGUCCACAACUUGUCUGUUUGCAGUAUAAAGAAGUGUAGGAAUUCAAACUGCUCUGUGUUCUUAGUUAAUCAAAGUGUCAUAUUCUUCUGUUAGCAGAUGAUGUAAGAAGGGUACUCCUGAGCGCUCUGCACUAUGCCCCAAGAAUUACCAACAUCUUAUUCAAAUCUCCUCUAAUCCCUCAGCUGAUCAGAUUUUAAUCUUUAUUAUUUUGCCGCUAUAAUUUCAACCACUGAACUUUUGAAUUCCCUUCUAGUCUAUUCUUUAAUGGAUAGGAAAUGGCUGGGAAGACUAUUACUAAUUAGAUGUACCACUGGCCAUGACAUCAGCAUCAAUAGAAGAUAUAAACCCCCUUUCUCUGUAGAUUCUGGCCUGUUCCUACUGCUUUACUUGGUAUAUCUUAUCAGACUUCCUUCUUAAAUUAGCUAUAAGUGCCACUGGUUGUUAAUUUUCUUGCUAGGAGUCUCCAGCAUUCAGCAUGACACAUCCAGUUCACUAAUGCUAAAGCUUACAGGGAAUGUUUCAGAGCACCAGUACUGUAAGAAGGCAAAAGAUUUCUAAAAUGUUUUUUGAGUCUUGUCAUCUCAUAGAAUGGCCGAGUCAGAGAACCAUAGAAUGGCCUGGGUUGAAAAGGACCACAAUGCUCAUCAGUUCCAACCCCCUGCUAUG